rnacentral:rRNA from 1 species
UACAGAGGGUGCGAGCGUUGUCCGGAAUCACUGGGCGUAAAGGGCGCGUAGGCGGAUCUGCAAGUCGGGGGUGAAAUCCCGAGGCUCAACCUCGGAACUGCCUUCGAUACUGCGGGUCUCGAGUCCGGAAGAGGCGAGUGGAAUUCCUGGUGUAGCGGUGAAAUGCGCAGAUAUCAGGAGGAACACCGAUGGCGAAGGCAGCUCGCUGGGACGGUACUGACGCUGAGGCGCGAAAGCGUGGGGAGCAAACAGG